rnacentral:rRNA from 1 species
GUCCACGCAGUAAACGAUGAAUACUAGCUGUAUGCGAUAUACUGUAUGUGGCAAAGCGAAAGCGUUAAGUAUUCCACCUGGGAGUACGUUCGCAAGAAUGAAACUCAAAGGAAUUGACGGGGCCCGCACAAGCGGAGGAACAUGUGGUUUAAUUCGAUGAUACGCGAGGAACCUUACCCGGGCUUGAAAUGCAGAGGAAUUAUGGGAAACCGAUACGCCAGCAAUGGUCUCUGUGUAGGUGCUGCAUGGUUGUCGU